GCAUUUCCGCCGGCGCCCGAGCGAUGAAGGGCGGGUCCUGCAUCCGAGGCAUCCCCGAUCCAUCCAGCAUCUUCUCGCGCAGUCUUCUUCGACCCGCUGCCACAGUCCCGGCGCCCCAGGCCCUGCGCAGAUGAAGACCUUCCCUCGGACGGCUUUGCGGGCCCUGCCUCAGCCGGCGCCCCCUUCUCUCCUGCAGGACCCGGACCCGCGCUGCAGGGGCUGAGUGCCCCCUGGGUCGGUGUCUGAGUCUUGCCUCCCCGUAGGCUCAGUACCUGGCACGUGUCCAAGGCUCAGCAGCUGUACCACAACCACCCAACAGGAGAGAAGGAAAGGAGAGGUGCACCCCGGGGAUGUGGUGAGGCCAUCCCGUCAUGGGGAAUCAGAAAAGGACUGCGUCUUAGCCAGCCAGCUGGGGGAAGAGGAGGCAGCACCGGGCAGAGGGGCCCUUGAGAGAUGUCACCAUCCUGUUAAGAAAGGGCUGGACCACAGCACUGCAGAGAUGAGUCCACGGUGUGCAGAGGCCGUCGUGGAAGUUGUCGUGUCAGGAGCGCUGUAGACCGCAGUGUCCUUGAGUGUUCAUUCUGACUCUUCUCUGGGAGCAUUGAGAUUCCUUUUUGAGCCAAGUUUGGUGUGGAAAAAAACACUGCAGCUCAUCUCUGACUAAUUGGGGACGCUUUCAUGGAUGUCACCUUAAAGAAAGAUGAGGUAAUACUGGAAUUCCCUUUGUGACUCAGCGGAAAUGAACCCGACUCGUAUCCAUGAGGAUGCGGGUUUGAUCCCUGGCCUGGCUCAGUGGGUUAAGGAUCUGGCAUUGCCAUGAGCUGUGGUGUAGGUCGCAGAUGCAGCUUGGAUCCUGCGUUGCUGUAGCCUAGGAUGGCAGCUACAGCUCUGAUUCAAUCCCUACCCUGAGAACUUCCAUAUCCUGUGGGUGCGGCCCUAAAAAGAGAAAAGAAAAAAAAAUAGAUGAGGUAAUAUUGGGGAGCAAACUCUUGUCAUGCCCUCCUGGUCUGUGGCCUCCUCGUUGCUCUAGGGGUGCUGCUUUGGAAGAAGCCUCGGGGGUCAGAACCACUCGCCCUCUCAAGGUGAGGACCUGAGUCCCAGCUCCCCCGGAGGGUCCUCCUCAUGGUAUUUAGGGGCUGACCGCGGACACUGGCGUAGCAGCGUGAAGCAGGAUGUUGUCGCAUGACCAUCGCCAAACCUUUCUCUUCUGUUGCCUCAGCACAGCGUGGAAGGACUCUGCCCUCUGUGUGAACAGGGCAGAGGGGAAGUUCUGGGGCUCCAGGGACUUGGGGUUCAGAGCUGGAGACCUUCUACUGGCUCCCAGCAGGUGCCUCAGAACACUGCUGACCAGGAAGACUGUCUCUUCCCAUCUGGACCAGGUCAUCCCGUGGCUUCUGUGUUUCCCAUUUGCUCCUAGUAUAACUUUUUAGAACCAGGAGUUCCUGUUGGAGUCUUGUGUGCCAUGCAUCUUAUCUUCUCACCCACUUAAAUAAAUCUCGAAACUGCC
rnacentral:lncRNA from 1 species